rnacentral:tRNA from 1 species
GUUUUUGUAGUGUAAAAAAACACAUUACAUUUUCGUUGUAAAACUAAAGCCGAAGCUUUCUAAAACU